GACGAACGCUGGCGGCGUGCCUAAUACAUGCAAGUUGAGCGCUGAAGGUUGGUACUUGUACCAACUGGAUGAGCAGCGAACGGGUGAGUAACGCGUGGGGAAUCUGCCUUUGAGCGGGGGACAACAUUUGGAAACGAAUGCUAAUACCGCAUAAAAACUUUAAACACAAGUUUUAAGUUUGAAAGAUGCAAUUGCAUCACUCAAAGAUGAUCCCGCGUUGUAUUAGCUAGUUGGUGAGGUAAAGGCUCACCAAGGCGAUGAUACAUAGCCGACCUGAGAGGGUGGUCGGCCACAUUGGGACUGAGACCCGGCCCAAACUCCUACGGGAGGCAGCAGUAGGGAAUCUUCGGCAAUGGACGAAAGUCUGACCGAGCAACGCCGCGUGAGUGAAGAAGGUUUUCGGAUCGUAAAACUCUGUUGGUAGAGAAGAACGUUGGUGAGAGUGGAAAGCUCAUCAAGUGACGGUAACUACCCAGAAAGGGACGGCUAACUACGUG
rnacentral:rRNA from 1 species